GACGAGGGGUCCUAGCGUUGCUCGGAAUUAUUGGGCGUAAAGCGGGUGUAGGUGGCUUAGCAAGUCAGAAGUGAAAGUCCUGGGCUCAACCCGGGAAGUGCUUUUGAAACUGCUUUGCUUGAGUGUAGGAGAGGGUAGUAGAAUUCCUGGUGUAGUGGUGAAAUACGUAGAUAUCAGGAGGAAUACCGGAUGGGAAGCCGGCUGCCUGGCCUAACACUGACACUCAGACCCGAAAGCGUGGGGAUCAAACAGG
rnacentral:misc_RNA from 1 species